AAAGUUGUUGCAGUUAAAAAGCUCGUAGUUGGAUUUCGGGACGGCACGGUCGGUCCGCCGCAAGGUGUGUCACUGGCCGGGCUGUUCUUCCUCGCAAAGACUGCGUGUGCUCUUAGCUGAGUGUGCGGAGGACUUGCGACGUUUACUUUGAAAAAAUUAGAGUGUUCAAAGCAGGCCAUCGCUUGAAUACAUAAGCAUGGAAUAAUGGAAUAGGACUUUGGUUCUAUUUUGUUGGUUUCUGGAACCGAAGUAAUGAUUAAGAGGGACAGUUGGGGGCAUUCGUAUUUCGUUGUCAGAGGUGANAUUCUUGGAUUUACGAAAGACGAACUACUGCGAAAGCAUUUGCCAAGAAUGUUUUCAUUAAUCAAGAACGAAAGUUAGAGGAUCGAAGACGAUCAGAUACCGUCCUAGUUCUAACCAUAAACGAUGCCGACUAGGGAUCAGAGAGUGUUAUUGGAUGACCUCUUUGGCACCUUAUGGGAAACCAAAGUUUUUGGGUUCCG
rnacentral:rRNA from 1 species